CGCCUCUUGAUUAAAUAUAGGAGGUCCAGCCUGCCCAGUGACACACUUAAACGGCCGCGGUACCCUGACCGUGCAAAGGUAGCAUAAUCAUUUGUUCUUUAAAUAGGGACUUGUAUCAACGGCAUCACGAGGGUUAUACUGUCUCCUCUCUCCAAUCAGUGAAACUGACCUCCCCGUGAAGAGGCGGGGAUAGAAACACAAGACGAGAAGACCCCAUGGAGCUUUAAACCCAAUAACAACUCUUCUUAAUAAACCUAAAAAAUUUAGAUACCCUGUUUAUUGGUUUUGGGUUGGGGUGACCACGGAGUAAAAAUCAACCUCCUUGACGAAUAGAUCUAAUCUUUAUCUAAGAGCCACCACUCAAAGAAUCAAAAAUUUGACGUUACAUGAUCCGGCAACCGAUCAACGAACCAAGUUACCCUGGGGAUAACAGCGCAAUCCAUUUCAAGAGCUCCUAUCGACGAAUGGGUUUACGACCUCGAUGUUGGAUCAGGGUAUCCCAGUGGUGCAGCCGCUACUAAAGGUUUGUUUGUUCAACAAUUAAAACCC
rnacentral:rRNA from 1 species